rnacentral:rRNA from 1 species
UGACUUAACACAUGCAAGUACGAACGGUUCUUUUAGGAGACAGUGGACGGACGGGGAGUAACGCGUAAGAAUCUACUUCAGUUGGGACAACCGCUGGAAACGGUGGUUAAUACCGAAAUGUGCCGAGAGGUGAAAGGCUUGCUGCCUGAAGAAGAGCUUGCGUCUGAUUAGCUAGUUGGUAGUGUAAGAGACUACCAAGGCGACGAUCAGUAGCUGGUCUGAGAGGAUGAUCAGCCACACUGGAACUGAGACACGGUCCAGACUCC